UACGUAGGGGGCAAGCGUUGUCCGGAAUCAUUGGGCGUAAAGCGCGUGUAGGCGGCUCGAUAAGUCUGCUGUGAAAGUCCAAGGCUCAACCCCGGGAGGCGGGUGGAUACUGUCAAGCUCGAGUCCGGAAGAGGCGAGUGGAAUUCCUGGUGUAGCGGUGAAAUGCGCAGAUAUCAGGAGGAACACCAAUGGCGAAGGCAGCUCGCUGGGACGUGACUGACGCUGAGACGCGAAAGCGUGGGGAGCAAACAGG
rnacentral:rRNA from 1 species